GGGUGCUGAGCAGGCCCGGAGGGGCUAGGGCUCGACUGGGAGAGAGCGACCUCACGGAGUCAGGCACGCACACAACUCCAGACACCCCCGGAGCCCCAGUUCUGGCAGGAAAGAGGCUUCCUGAGCCUUCACGUGGCCAGAAGCUGCCAGCCCUGAAUCCAUCAGUGAAGGAACAAGUGUGAAAAGCCAAUGGCCUGGAGCAGAGCCAACCAGCCCAGGCUUACCAGUCAACCUCAUGUUCUAGGUUGGCAAAUGACCUGCAGAAUGAGGAGUGCCCUCGUGGGAGGGGCUUCGGCUGUAAGAGGGCAGGUGGCUGGAAGGAAUGAGCGACCUAGAGGAAACGCGCACCCAGACCCCAAAUUCUCAUAGGAAGAAACACACGUGGUGACAUAAUGGGAUGUCGGAGCCGGAGCCCUGCAGACUGCAACGCAACACCACCACCGUGACUGGCAAGAAUUACGGGAAGGCAGGGGCGCCUGGGUGGCUAGGUCGG